GGUAUGCUUAACACAUGCAAGUCGAACGGUGUCUUCGGACACAGUGGCGGACGGGUGAGUAACGCGUGAGAAUCUGGCUUCAGGUCUGGGACAACCACUGGAAACGGUGGCUAAUACCGGAUGUGCCGAGAGGUGAAAGGUUAACUGCCUGAAGAUGAGCUCGCGUCUGAUUAGCUAGUUGGAAGUGUAAUGGACUCCCAAGGCGACGAUCAGUAGCUGGUCUGAGAGGACGAUCAGCCACACUGGGACUGAGACACGGCCCAGACUCCUACGGGAGGCAGCAGUGGGGAAUUUUCCGCAAUGGGCGAAAGCCUGACGGAGCAAUACCGCGUGAGGGAGGAAGGCUCUUGGGUCGUAAACCUCUUUUCUCAGGGAAGAACACAAUGACGGUACCUGAGGAAUAAGCAUCGGCUAACUCCGUGCCAGCAGCCGCGGUAAUACGGAGGAUGCAAGCGUUAUCCGGAAUGAUUGGGCGUAAAGCGUCCGCAGGUGGCAAUGUAAGUCUGCUGUUAAAGAGUCUAGCUCAACUAGAUAAGAGCAGUGGAAACUACAUAGCUAGAGUACGUUCGGGGCAGAGGGAAUUCCUGGUGUAGCGGUGAAAUGCGUAGAGAUCAGGAAGAACACCGGUGGCGAAGGCGCUCUGCUAGGCCGUAACUGACACUGAGGGACGAAAGCUAGGGGAGCGAAUGGGAUUAGAUACCCCAGUAGUCCUAGCCGUAAACGAUGGAUACUAGGCGUGGCUUGUAUCGACCCGAGCCGUGCCGUAGCUAACGCGUUAAGUAUCCCGCCUGGGGAGUACGCCGGCAACGGUGAAACUCAAAGGAAUUGACGGGGGCCCGCACAAGCGGUGGAGUAUGUGGUUUAAUUCGAUGCAACGCGAAGAACCUUACCAAGGCUUGACAUGUCGCGAAUCUUGAUGAAAGUUGAGAGUGCCUUCGGGAGCGCGAACACAGGUGGUGCAUGGCUGUCGUCAGCUCGUGUCGUGAGAUGUUGGGUUAAGUCCCGCAACGAGCGCAACCCUCGUUUUUAGUUGCCAGCAUUAAGUUGGGCACUCUAGAGAGACUGCCGGUGACAAACCGGAGGAAGGUGGGGAUGACGUCAAGUCAGCAUGCCCCUUACGCCUUGGGCUACACACGUACUACAAUGCUCCGGACAGAGGGCAGCAAGCAUGCGAAUGCAAGCAAAUCCCGUAAACCGGAGCUCAGUUCAGAUCGCAGGCUGCAACUCGCCUGCGUGAAGGAGGAAUCGCUAGUAAUUGCAGGUCAGCAUACUGCAGUGAAUUCGUUCCCGGGCCUUGUACACACCGCCCGUCACACCAUGGAAGCUGGUAGUGCCCGAAGUCAUUACUCCAACCUUUCGGGGAGGAGGAUGCCUAAGGCAGGACUGGUGACUGGGGUGAAGUC
rnacentral:rRNA from 1 species